UGCGGAGGGAUCAUUACCGAGUUAUACAACUCAUCAACCCUGUGAACAUACCUAUAACGUUGCCUCGGCGGGAACAGACGGCCCCGUAACACGGGCCGCCCCCGCCAGAGGACCCCCUAACUCUGUUUCUAUAAUGUUUCUUCUGAGUAAACAAGCAAAUAAAUUAAAACUUUCAACAACGGAUCUCUUGGCUCUGGCAUCGAUGAAGAACGCAGCGAAAUGCGAUAAGUAAUGUGAAUUGCAGAAUUCAGUGAAUCAUCGAAUCUUUGAACGCACAUUGCGCCCGCCAGUAUUCUGGCGGGCAUGCCUGUUCGAGCGUCAUUACAACCCUCAGGCCCCCGGGCCUGGCGUUGGGGAUCGGCGGAAGCCCCCUGCGGGCACAACGCCGUCCCCCAAAUACAGUGGCGGUCCCGCCGCAGCUUCCAUUGCGUAGUAGCUAACACCUCGCAACUGGAGAGCGGCGCGGCCACGCCGUAAAACACCCAACUUCUGAAUGUUGACCUCGAAUCAGGUAGGAAUACCCGCUGAACUUAAGCAUAUCAA
rnacentral:rRNA from 1 species